GGGCUCUUAGCUCAAUUGGAUAGAGCAUCUGACUACGGAUCAGAAGGUUACAGGUUCGAGUCCUGUAGAGCCCG
rnacentral:tRNA from 1 species